UAGGAAGUGGUGUAGUGGAAGCACUAGGAGUUUUGAUCUCUUGAGCAUGGGUUCGAAUCCCUUUUUCCUAA
rnacentral:tRNA from 1 species